rnacentral:pre_miRNA from 13 species
GUGCCAGCCUGAUAUAUAUAUACUGUAUAUAUAUACUGUAUAUACAGUAUAUAUAUACAGUAUAUAUAUAUCAGGCUGGCAC